GAUGAACGCUGGCGGUAUGCUUAACACAUGCAAAUCGAACGGUCACUUCGGUGAUAGUGGCGGACGGGUGAGUAACGCGUGAGAAUCUGUCUUCAGGUCGGGGACAACAGUUAGAAAUGACUGCUAAUACCGGAUAUGCCUUAUGGUGAAAGAUUUAUUGCCUGAAAAAGAGCUCGCGUCAGAUUAGCUAGUAGGUGGUGUAAGAGACUACCUAGGCGACGACCUGUAGCUGGUCUGAGAGGACGAUCAGCCACACUGGAACUGAGACACGGUCCAGACUCCUACGGGAGGCAGCAGUGGGAAUUUUCCGCAAUGGGCGAAAGCCUGACGGAGCAAUACCGCGUGAGGGACGAAGGCUUUUUGGGUCGUAAACCUCUUUUUCUCAAGGAAGAUAAUGACGGUACUUGAGGAAUAAGCAUCGGCUAACUCUGUGCCAGCAGCCGCGGUAAU
rnacentral:rRNA from 1 species